CCCGGCACUGCCCCGAGCAGCCUCUGGGGCCGGUGUGGGCUGCUCGCCUCCGCGGGAGCCGGAGAUGAACGUGCAGGCGUCAAGAGUGUGUGGAAAGGCCACGGUCCCGUUGUCGGAGAAGGCCAGCUGCUGAGCCGGGCAUGUCUCCAGGAGGCCUGCAGACUGCGCAGAUCCCGGCCUCUCUGCAGUGGGCUGCCCAGGCUGACCAGCCAGUUCCCACGGGAGGCUC
rnacentral:lncRNA from 1 species